GAGGAGUUGACAUGGAAAAUGUCACUGAGGGAAACCGUCGGGCGCCAGCGAUUGCCGCCGGGCGGCGGCAGAAGGAUAUGGGAAACCGCCGGGCGGUGGCGAUUGCCGCCGAGCGGUGGCGGCAGGUUAUGGGAAACCGCCAGGUGGCACACUUAAACCGCCCGGCGGUGGCUCGCUGGACUUGGGCUUGAUUUCGACGCGCUCCUCACUUAUAUAUACC
rnacentral:lncRNA from 1 species